AGAACUGAUAAUUCAAGUGAUGGAAUGAUAGGGUAACGCCUUGAAACAUUAUCCCUAAUACUCCGACUAGCGUCAUAAGUGGAAACACUAGAGGUUAGGAGUUCGGUGAAGUCGGCAGAAGCUGACCUAAACUAAGUAAGAAUCGUUAGUAACAUUGGUACAAAAGAGGCUAGAGCCCGCCUGUGUGAAUUGAUUACCGAAAGGCAUGGUCAAUGAUAUGUCGGGGGUCUAUAAA
rnacentral:ncRNA from 1 species